CAGCAGUCGCCGCGGUAAUACGAAGGGUGCAAGCGUUAAUCGGAAUUACUGGGCGUAAAGCGUGCGUAGGCGGUUUGUUAAGUCUGUUGUGAAAUCCCCGGGCUCAACCUGGGAAUGGCAAUGAAUACUGGCAAGCUAGAGUGUGUCAGAGGAUGGUGGAAUUCCCGGUGUAGCGGUGAAAUGCGUAGAGAUCGGGAGGAACAUCAGUGGCGAAGGCGGCCAUCUGGGACAACACUGACGCUGAGGCACGAAAGCGUGGGGAGCAAACAGGAUUAGAUACCCGGGUAGUCCCUGUCUCUUAUAC
rnacentral:rRNA from 1 species